CCCAGAGGAAGCUGUAUCGAGAUGUCAUGCUGGAGAACUUCAGAAACCUGCUAUCAGUGGGGCAUCAACUUUCCCACCGAGAUACUUUUCACUUCCAAAGAGAAGAAAAGUUUUGGAUCAUGGAGACAGCAACCCAAAGAGAAGGGAAUUCAGGAGGCAAGAUCCAAACUGAGUUGGAGUCUGUUCCAGAAACAGGACCACAUGAAGAGUGGUCUUGCCAGCAAAUCUGGGAACAAACUGCAAGUGAGUUAACUAGACCUCAAGACUCCAUAAGUAGCUCUCAGUUCUCCACACAAGGUGAUGUCCCCUCCCAGGUUGACGCAGGACUAUCUAUAAUUCACAUAGGAGAGACACCUUCUGAGCAUGGGAAGUGUAAAAAAUUCUUCAGUGAUGUCUCCAUCCUUGAUCUUCAUCAACAAUUACACUCAGGAAAGAUAUCCCAUACAUGUAAUGAGUACAGGAAGAGAUUCUGUUAUAGCUCAGCUCUUUGUCUUCAUCAGAAAGUUCACAUGGGAGAGAAACGCUAUAAGUGUGAUGUGUGUAGUAAGGCAUUUAGUCAGAACUCACAACUGCAAACUCAUCAGAGAAUCCACACUGGAGAGAAACCAUUCAAA
rnacentral:lncRNA from 1 species